UACGUAGGGUGCAAGCGUUGUCCGGAAUUAUUGGGCGUAAAGAGCUCGUAGGCGGUCUGUCGCAUCGGCUGUGAAAACUCGGGGCUCAACUCCGAGCUUGCAGUCGAUACGGGCAGGCUAGAGUUCGGCAGGGGAGACUGGAAUUCCUGGUGUAGCGGUGAAAUGCGCAGAUAUCAGGAGGAACACCGGUGGCGAAGGCGGGUCUCUGGGCCGAUACUGACGCUGAGGAGCGAAAGCGUGGGGAGCGAACAGG
rnacentral:rRNA from 1 species